GACGAACGCUGGCGGCGUGCCUAAUACAUGCAAGUAGAACGCUGAAGAGAGGAGCUUGCUCUUCUUGGAUGAGUUGCGAACGGGUGAGUAACGCGUAGGUAACCUGCCUUGUAGCGGGGGAUAACUAUUGGAAACGAUAGCUAAUACCGCAUAACAAUGGAUGACACAUGUCAUUUAUUUGAAAGGGGCAAUUGUUCCACUACAAGAUGGACCUGCGUUGUAUUUGCUAGUAGGUGAGGUAAUGGCUCACCUAGGCGACGAUACAUAGCCGACCUGAGAGGGUGAUCGGCCACACUGGGACUGAGACACGGCCCAGACUCCUACGGGAGGCAGCAGUAGGGAAUCUUCGGCAAUGGGGGCAACCCUGACCGAGCAACGCCGCGUGAGUGAAGAAGGUUUUCGGAUCGUAAAGCUCUGUUGUAAGUCAAGAACGGGUGUGAGAGUGGAAAGUUCACACUGUGACGGUAGCUUACCAGAAAGGGACGGCUAACUAC
rnacentral:rRNA from 1 species